GCUGCAGCACCCACCUCUUCUGAAUAUGUAACAACUGCAAUUUUAGAGUUGUUACAUAUUCAGAAGAGGUGGGGUGCUGCAGC
rnacentral:miRNA from 1 species